rnacentral:piRNA from 1 species
UAAUGUUGCAACUACAAGAGCAGUAAGUU